rnacentral:lncRNA from 1 species
UUUCCCACAGGUGUGUUUUCCGCCUCAAGGAUCCCCUGAGUGAUGGCUUCCUGUUUUCUGUCUGAGGACCAAUAGUGAGAAAGUGAAAGAAAAAUUAAAACCCCUGAAUUGAGCUGGAGGAAGAGGAGAUAUUUAUUCCUAAGGAGAACACUUACCAUUUUAUGGACCAGAUUAGACCCAAUGAAGAGGAAAAUGAGACAGAAUCAUCUGCACUGUGUUCAGGCGUCCAGGCUGUCGGAGGCACGUGUGGGGUCGCUGGAGAGGGCAGCGAGGCUGAGCCAGAGGAGACCGACAGCUCUACCAGGACGUGGCGGCGGCUGAGGUGACCCCCCACAGGGGCAAGCCCGCUGAAACCAGAUGUCUCCAUGGGUCGCUGCAAAUAGAAGUCCCUGCCGCCCUUUCAGGCUCACACGAUGCCACUUCCUCAUUCAGCCGCUUUCAUCAUCCGUGUUUCUUUUUUCACUUUUUUUUACUGUUAAAAACAGCAUCACCGGGAACGUGCUUAUGCAGUAACUUCUGAGCACUUCGUGUCUAUAAAACGGACUUUUCAAAAUGAAACAUCUCACAAUACUUACAGGUGAAACAAUUCUGUUUCCACCCUCAUCCUUCCAUCUUCUCUGGAUCGCCUCUCUCCCAGAGUCCAUGCCCCAGCUUAGACAUCGCAUAGAGAUGCAGAGCAGAACCCGCUCUUCAGCAGAAACCAGAAAAUGCCCGCUGGUGGUGGAGAUACCUUUCUAAUUAACCAUGGAA